rnacentral:rRNA from 1 species
UACGUAGGGGGCGAGCGUUGUCCGGAAUGACUGGGCGUAAAGGGUGCGUAGGCGGCCCGAGAGGUCCUGGGUGAAAGGCCCCGGCUCAACCGGGGAGGGCCCCAGGAAACCGGCGGGCUAGAGGGCUGGAGAGGGCCGCGGAAUUCCCGGUGUAGCGGUGAAAUGCGUAGAGAUCUGAAGGAACAUCAGUGGCGAAGGCGACUCACUGGGCCAUUACUGACACUGAGGUGCGAAAGCGUGGGUAGCAAACAGG